UCGAAAUUCAAAAUGAUUUAUCUAUUUUUGAUAGUCUAAAUUGAGUAAUGUUAUUAUUUGCAAAUGCAUUCUGACGAAACCAUCAGGGUGCAUAAAAAAAUGAAUCUUAAUUCAUUAUGGGAAAAUUUAAAUUGCAGUUGUCAGAACUUCUAUAGGAGGAUAAAUAAUGAAAAAGUACCAAGUAUUCUGCGAAAUUCAUCUCAAUCAUUCUUACUACCAUUGGUACUGAGGAAAAUAAGUCAUGAAUGGAUGAAAACGACUUAUCAGCAUGACUUUGGUCAAUUACAUAAACACCCUUCAAUAAUUUAUGGUAAUUCAAUCAUGGUAAAUGAUAGCUCCAAAAAAUCAUCUACUUUAACAAGGAAGUUAGAUGAUGAUGUUGAAUGUCGUCCUCCACCUAAAUUACCUUAUCUUUAUGGUCAUAAUAUUCCGGGUAGAAAAAGACAAAAAUCAUUACUACCUGAAAUGAACAACAAUGAAAAUCGGCAUAAUAUUAAUAUCAUUCAUGUUGAUAAUCGCAAGAAAGUAUAUUUACUCAAGGAUCGUAGAAUGACAAAUCCAACCACGAAAACAAAGACGAAAAUUCACAACGAUAAUUCUUCAUUCACUGAUGAAAACCAUAGCAAUAACAGAUCCAGUAAUAUUAAUACUCGUGAAAGUAGAACAAAGGAAUCGACAAAUACCAUCACAGAUGGUGCAAAUAAUGGCUUAUAUCCUGAUAGUAUUGAAAAAUUAAAUAUUAAUCGCAGACUUAUCAAUACCAAUUCGUCAACUGAUAAAAAAACAGGUGAUAUAAUAGAAAAAUUCUCCGUGUCUCCAUGGACGAGUGAAUAUCAAGAUACUAUUGGUGGAACAGCUGAAAAAAUUCUUAAAAUUCAAUUACAUUCACAUAAAAGGCACAAGAUGAUUAAUAAUCAUAAAGCUACAUAAAUUUACAUUAGCUUUAUACACAUUAUUGACACUCAGAUUUCUUUAAUUACAAUUAUUAUUUAUAACAUGAUCUGCUUCAGACCUUGAUGUUAUAACAGAG